UUAGGAUGAACGCUAGCUACAGGCUAACACAUGCAAGUCGAGGGGCAGCAUUGGGAUAGCUGCUAUUCAGAUGGCGACCGGCGCACGGGUGAGUAACGCGUAUCCAACCUUCCUGCCAGUAGGGAACAGCCCGGCGAAAGUCGGAUUAAUGCCCUAUGUUCUUCAAUGCGGACAUCUAAGUUGAAGGAAAGAUUCAUCGCUGGCAGAUGGGGAUGCGUCCGAUUAGCUUGCCGGCGGGGUAACGGCCCACCGGGGCGAUGAUCGGUAGGGGUUCUGAGAGGAAGGUCCCCCCACACUGGUACUGAGACACGGACCAGACUCCUACGGGAGGCAGCAGUGAGGAAUAUUGGUCAAUGGGCGUAAGCCUGAACCAGCCAAGUAGCGUGCCAGGAUGACGGCCCUACGGGUUGUAAACUGCUUUUAUGCGGGGAUAAAGUGCGGCACGUGUGCCGCUUUGCAGGUACCGCAUGAAUAAGGACCGGCUAAUUCCGUGCCAGCCGCGGC
rnacentral:rRNA from 1 species